GAUGAAGAACGUAGCGAAAUGCGAUACGUAAUGUGAAUUGCAGAAUUCAGUGAAUCAUCGAAUCUUUGAACGCAUAUUGCGCUCUCUGGUAUUCCGGAGAGCAUGCUUGUUUGAGUAUCAGUAAACACCUCAACUUCCAUAUCUUUUUUGAAAUGGGAGUUGGACUUGAGUGAUCCCAACGCUUUUCCUCACCGAAAAGUGGCGGGUUACUUGAAAUGCAGGUGCAGCUGGACUUUUCUCUGAGCUAUAAGCAUAUCUAUUUAGUCUGCCUAAAAAACAGCUUAUUACCUUUGCUGCAGCUAACAUAAAGGAGAUUAGUUCUUGUGCUGACUGAUGCAGGAUUCACAAAGACAGGCUUCGGCCGACUUUGUAAACUCGAUCUCAAAUCAAGUAAGACUACCCGCUGAACUUAAGCAUAUCAAUAAGCGGAGGA
rnacentral:misc_RNA from 1 species